UACGGGGGAUGCAAGUGUUAUCCGGAAUCAUUGGGCGUAAAGCGUCUGUAGGUGGUUAAAUAAGUCAAUUGUUAAAUCUUGAAGCUUAACUUUAAAACUGCAAUCGAAACUAUUUAACUAGAGUAUAGUAGAGGUAAAGGGAAUUUCCAGUGUAGCGGUGAAAUGCGUAGAUAUUGGAAGGAACACCAAUGGCGAAAGCACUUUACUGGGCUAUUACUGACACUCAGAGACGAAAGCUAGGGUAGCAAAUGGG
rnacentral:rRNA from 1 species